rnacentral:rRNA from 1 species
UACGUAGGUGGCUAGCGUUGUCCGGAUUUACUGGGCGUAAAGAGCGCGCAGGCGGUCGUUCAAGUCGAGUGUGAAAGCCCCCGGCUCAACUGGGGAGGGUCACUCGAUACUGAUCGACUCGAAGGCAGGAGAGGGAAGCGGAAUUCCCGGUGUAGUGGUGAAAUGCGUAGAUAUCGGGAGGAACACCUGUGGCGAAAGCGGCAUACUGGACCACAACUGACGCUGAGGCGCGAAAGCUAGGGGAGCAAACAGG